rnacentral:lncRNA from 11 species
UUUCAAGGUGCCAAAUAUAUGAACCUCUGUCUUAUAACUCUCUGUUGUUAUCUUUCAGAAAUAAUUCAAAUGGUAAACCUCUAUGCAGUAACAUUUGAAAGCUUGCCACCUGGCAUUGAUAACUACAUGGAGAAGUCACUUCUUCAAGCUUGCAACUGGGUCCUCUGAGGGACGGCUACUCCAAGCAGCUAGAACAUGACUGGCGCCUGUCACCCAGAGGACCUUUUCAUUGGCCGUGGAAUGACCAGCUGGAAGAGCUCCAACAGUUAAAAGAGCUAUUGAAUUUUUUUAAACCAUCUAAAGAACUAUCUCUUCCAGCAUGCCUACCCAGCUAGUUUUAAGCAUGAAUUUUAAACUCAUGUCCUGUUUCAUCCCUGUUUUGUGCAUUUUAAUAUGUAUUUUUAAAAUUAUGUUUUAAUAUAUAUUUUUCAUAGAAAUACAUUCUAAUAUGUGUAUUUGUAGUAUUUUUUUUACACUAUGUGUUUUAAUUAUU